rnacentral:rRNA from 1 species
AUCUAAAUCCCUUAACGAGGAACAAUUGGAGGGCAAGUCUGGUGCCAGCAGCCGCGGUAAUUCCAGCUCCAAUAGCGUAUAUUAAAGUUGUUGCAGUUAAAAAGCUCGUAGUUGAACCUUGGGCCCGUCCUGCCGGUCCGCCUCACCGCGAGUACUGGUCCGGAUGGGCCUUUCUUUCUGGGGAAUCCCAUGGCCUUCACUGGCUGUGGCGGGGAACCAGGACUUUUACUGUGAAAAAAUUAGAGUGUUCAAAGCAGGCCUUUGCUCGGAUACAUUAGCAUGGAAUAAUAGAAUAGGACGUGCGGUUCUAUUUUGUUGGUUUCUAGGACCGCCGUAAUGAUUAAUAGGGAUAGUCGGGGGCGUCAGUAUUCAGCUGUCAGAGGUGAAAUUCUUGGAUUUGCUGAAGACUAACUACUGCGAAAGCAUUCGCCAAGGAUGUUUUCAUUAAUCAGGGAACGAAAGUUAGGGGAUCGAAGACGAUCAGAUACCGUCGUAGUCUUAACCAUAAACUAUGCCGACUAGGGAUCGGGCGGGGUUUCUAUGAUGACCCGCUCGGCACCUUACGAGAAAUCAAAUUUUUGGGUUCUGGGGGGAGUAUGGUCGCAAGGCUGAAACUUAAAGAAAUUGACGG